UCUCUUUCUCCCUUUUUUCUUUUUCUUCUUCUUCUCCGGCUUCUUCUCCUCCUUCUCCUCUUCUUUUCCUUUCGUAUGUUGAGGCAAUGAUUAUAGGCAGCUUGCGAAGGGAUUGUUCUUCUUCUCCUCUUCUUUCCAUGCCUCCGCCUCCUUCUUUCUUCAUUAGCUAGCAGCAGCCAUUGUUAGAUGGGGGAGGGGAAGAAGACACAGUGGGAUCUUUUCCCUAGGUCGGCUUCUAGUUCUCUUCCUCAAGAUUGUUGGUCUUCUCUUUCUUGUUCUCCUUCUCCUUGUUCUUGGACUCCCAGGUUGGAUAAUGGCCACGAUGUGGUGCUUCUCGUUAUCUUUUUCCCUUUCUUUGUUUAUGUUUCUGCUCUCUCGCUUUUGUUCUUUUUAUUUGUUUCCCAAAUUGGGAGAGCGGCAUUGCUUUUGGGUUCUAUAGAAGGAGGCUGUGAUGAUUCUUGAACGAGGGUUUUGCUACAUUUUGAGAGGAAACGGCUAUCUUCUUGACGGCGAGGCAAUUUGGAUGGUCUACUGCUGUUCUUCUGCAGGCAAGAUCAAAACGUUUGCAGCCGUUUUGAUUUAUUAGUUGCAGAUCAAUUGGUGAAUCUGAGCCUCCCUCUUCAUCUUCACCUUCUCUGCUUUCUAAUCCUAGUUUUUUUUUGUUUUCAAUAUUCUUUUUUCUAGGGUUUUUUGAAUUUCUUUACUAUGAUUAGUAUUGCCGCCAAAGAAUUCAUAGCAAAUUAGAGUUUCAAGAACCCAAACCCUCAAAUUGCUAUUCAGGCUGUUGGAAAACUCGGAGUUGUAUUGCUUGACAUUAGGUUUUUAUAACAUUCAAGGGAACUACUUGAGUAACUACAGGUAACAAGGGUUUUGAUCUUCUUCUCUUUGUUCCUUUCUCCUUCAUCAUUCUUUAUUUUUAUUUCCUUUUAACGAAUUGCGACAAAUGAGAGCUUGGAAACUCUGCCAUCCCCCAGACCUGGAACGGAUUUUGAUUUGUAGCCGUUGUAAGUUGCAGAGGUCAUCACCCGAGGAGAAGAGUAGGGGAAUCUUCUCCUCUCUUUUUUUUGUGUAUGCACGUAUAUUGAGGCGAUGAUGGAUGACUUGUAAAAUUGCUCUUCUUCUCUUCUUUGCAUGUCAGCUUCUCUAGUAAUAGGUGAGGCAUUUCUGGAAGGGAUUGUUCUUCUUCUCAUCUUCUUUGCAUGCCUCCUCCUUCAGCAGCGAUAGGGCGAGCAGAUCUGGAAGGUCUGCUGUUCCGCAGACAAAAAGCAUUUGUUAGAUAGUGGGACGAGAAGAAGACAGUGUGGGAUCUUUUUCCUAGGUCGGCUUCCAGAUCUCUUCCUCAAGAUUGGUUGGUCUUCUCUUUCUUCUUCUCCUUCUACUUGUUCUUGGACUCUCGGGUGGAUAAUGGCUGCAAUGUUGUGCUUCUUGUUAUCUUUUUCUCUUUCUGUUUAUGUUUCUUCUCUUUUGCUUUUCUUUUCUUCUUUGUUUCUCAAAUUCGGAGAGCAGAAUUGCUUUUGGCUUCUAUACAAGCUACAUUUUGAGAAGAAAGUGGCUAUUCUCUAGACGGCGAUGCAAUCUUGGAUGGUCUGCUGCUGUUGUUCUGCAGGCAACCGUUUGCAGCCAUUUUGAUUUAUUAGUUACAGAUUAAUUGGUGAAUCUCAGCCUCCCUCUUCAUCUUCGCCUUCUCUGCUUUCUAAUUGCUGGGCGUUUUGUUUUUCGGAGGCUUAUUUCGUUAGAUGCUAAGACUAGUUAUCUGCUUCUUCAUAUAAAGAGUUUGGAUUAUUUUAUUGCUUUUAUAUCUCUCAUCCUGCUUGGUUGUUGUACAUAAAUUUGUGCUGGUUGUUGUUUUGGUUGGCUGCCAUUGCCUGCUCCAUUUGAUGACAUGUGAAUGAUGGUCAUCAAAUUUUGAGCAAACCUUUUUUGGGUCCAUUAGUCUUGGUGAUGCAAUUGGUUAUCCACCUGCUUUAAUUUGUUGUUGCACGCACCACAUUUGUUGAAUGCCCCAACAUCUAUUUAAUGUUAGCAUUAUGUGGUUUUGUAUGCUAUUUUUUUGCCACUGUGACUGAGACACACAUAUAACUUUAGUGUUUUCAUGGAUGGAUUAUAGUAAUUUCUGUGCAUUUGUUACCUCUUGCUGUCAACUUUGAAUGAUAUGAUCAACCCUUUUUUGGUAGAUGCUGUUUGUAGGUCACUGUUGGUCUAAACUGUGGAUGAAAUAGUCUGCUAGUUGAUUGCACUGCCGGUCAUUGUAUCUGGCAUUGAUAAAUAGUUAAUUUUCGAACCAACAAAUUUUUUUUGGGGCUACGGUAAUGUGCAUUUUGUUGUUUUAAUUCAAUGUUCAAUAAGCAUUAUUCAGUUGAUCUCACCUAAGUUCAAUCUUCACGUGAUGCUACAGGCCUUAAAGCAUUCACGUCAUAACUUAUAUUAAUUGCAGUUGUGUUCCAAAGUAUCUCUGUUCCCUUUUUCAUUCUUAUCAUAUCUACAACUGAAGUGAUAUAACAAAAUCCUGACAAUAAAUUGUUGGGCUCUUUUACAUGAACUACCAGUUUAUGUGUGAAUCUUAUUGUGCUGUUUUUUUCCUGCAAUUCUUUUAUGUCUCUUGUUAUUAAGUUAGUUGAAAUGCCUGCUUCACCAUUGGAUAACUUUUUCUCCCAUUUGUUGUGAUUGGCUAAUUAAUUUAAUUUGUUUUUUAUUUUUAUUUCUGCUCUCAUUUAAUUUGGGAUGCUCUGGUCUUUUGCUGACAUUUACAUCCUUGUUUUCUGUACAUCAUGAUAGUGAUACCACUACUUUUGCCCCCAUUUUUAAUUAGUCAAGCCUUUCAUAGUAGAUGGAUGCUGUUUCUAGGUCUCUGUUGGUCUAAAGUCUAAAUUGUGAAUGAAAUAGUCUGCUAGAUGAUUGCACUUCCCGUCAUUGUAUCUGGCAUUGAUAAAUAGUUAAUUUUCAAUCCAACAUUUUUUUUUUGGCUAUGGUAAUGUGCAUUUUGUUGUUUUAAUUCAAUGCUCAAUAAGUAUUAUUCAGUUGAUCUUACCUAAGUUCAAUUUUCACGUGAUGCUACAGGCCUUAAAGCAUUCACGUCAUAACUUAUAUUAAUUGCAGUUGUGUUGGAAUGUAUCUUUGUUCCCGUUUUUAUUCUUAUCAUAUCCACAACUGAAGUGACAUAACAAAAUCCUGACCAUAAAUAGAUGGGCUCUUUUACAUGAACUACCAGUUUAUUGGUGAAUCUUAUUAUGCUAUUAUUUUUCUGCAAUUCUUUUAGAGCUCUUGUUAUUAAGUUAGCUGAAAUGCCUGCUUCACCAUUGGAUAACUUUUUCUCCCAUUUGUUGCGUUUGAGUCUUGACUAAUUAAUUUAAGUUGUUUUUUCAUUUUUUUCUGCUCUCAGUUAAUUUGGGAUGCUCUGGUCUUUUGCUGACUUUACAUCCUUGUUUUCUGUACAUCAUGAUAGGGAUACCACUACUUUUGCUCCCAUUUUUAUGUGCUGUGUAUGUUGCUUAAUCUUUUAUUUGACAACAUUGUUUGGUUCUCUUAGUACAACUUUCAAAUAGUAUCAUUUGCCGUUGCCACGAGACAAUGACAUGAUAUUCUGAAAAUGCAUUUGCAUAAUCUCAGAAUUAUUAGACUAAUUCCUAUAUAGCUCCUAUCCCUUUUUGAACAAGUUCAGAAUCGGAAGAAUUUCUCAUUGUUUUGUCUGCUGGCCAUCAGUUAUGGUUAUAUCCUUGUGACAUACCGUGUGGUAAUUCCAAUCCUUUAAUUUUUUUAUUAACCUUGUUGGUUACAUUGAAUCCGCAUGACUUUCCAUUUGCUUGGAAAUCAUUUCUGCAUGUUGUUCUAGAUACUUUACCAUUCCUUUUUCAUCCUCUCUUUCUCUUUAAUUUCCAUGCCUUCAUGCCUGAGUUUGUGCUGUAAUUUUAGUAUGUUUGUUAAUGUAUUGUCUUGGCAGGGCUUGGUGCAGUGGCAAAGCUGCUCCAUUUUGACCUGUGCAUAUCAUGUAUUUGAAACACUUCUCGAGAUCUUGUGUGGCAGAAACUUUGGGGACGCCUUUUUUUUGAAUGUAUUAUGUAUCAUAAAGGUAAGAUUUGUGAUAUCUAGGAAUGAUUAUAUUCUAUUGAGUUGUGAAUGAUUGUUUUAGCCUUAUCAUUUUGUAGGAUGUAGUCAUAUCUGCUGAAGUUCAAAUGGACCAACAAUUAGCAUAUACUGGUUGACUCAGUGAUUUAUUCUUGAAACUGAGAUUGAUUUGUUACAAAGCCAAAUAUUGAGUAUUGUAGGUAAAUUGUCUGCUUUGGUUUCUUAGAACUCACUUCUGAGCUAUUGUUGGACCCUAUGCUGCAGCUAAAGCCCGAACCUUUUGGGUGAAGAUGACAACAUCUUUACCAAUUCGUGUGAUAUCCUUCAAAUGAACUAUUACUACUCCUGGUCAUCUCAUCUUAUAGGGGCUAGAUUCAUGAUUUUCUGUGGAAGCUGUCCUCGAUAAAUCCCUAACCAUUGAUGUCUUUUUAGCUAGCAUAUCUGAUUGGUGGAACAGCAUACUAAGGUCGAAAAACCAUCUGAUCGCAGUAUUUCUUGAAGUAUGUAAGUAUAUUUUGAUUUAUUUCCCAACAAUUUAUCUUAGUAUUACUUUUAUUGCUUAUGGCUGUGAUUUCUUCAAUCAGAUUAGCUUUUUGGCCUGUUCUUGACGUUGAACAAGCAUCGAUAGUGCUGGACAUCAUAUUCUAGACUAGUAUACUAGAUUAAAUUAUUCAUGUGUUGCUGACCUGUUCUGACCAGAUCUUGAUUUGAAAGUACUGGUAGGUUGUGAGUUGGGAGGGAACCCACUAGGGUCUCUUGAGUCAUAUUCAGAUAUGCAGUAAACCUUAUUUAUUUAUUUAUGGUAGUAGACAUGUUUAGAAGGAGCAUGGACAGGCAUACAAUGUGACAGAUAAUUGCCUUCUCAAAGAGCCGGUUCUUGUAUGUUGGUAAACAAGGCUCGGCCUUCCACCUCUCCUGUCUCCUAGCUUGAGGAGCAAUAGGCGAGGCAUUUCUGAAAGGCCUGCUACACAGCUGGCAACCGAUCUGUAUUCAUUGCAAGUUGGAGAGUCAUCACCCGAGGAGAAAAGGGGAGGGGGGAUCUUCUCUUUUUUGUGUGUAUGUAUGUAUAUUGAGGAGAUGAUGGGUGACUUGUAGAAUUGAUCUUCUUCUCUUCUUUGUGUGUCAGCUUCUCUAGCAAUAGGUGAGGAGCUUCUGGAAGAAUUCAUAGGAUUUGGAGGCCGAUGAAAGUUUCGGGAUAAGGAUGGUAUCAAUAAAGCGCGUUCAGGGCUUCCAGCCCGCCCAACGGAUUCUCGUUCACGAAGAUCUUGGGCACUGCAGCGAUUCCCGUCCGUUGGAUCAGCUCCUUCUCUCUUGAUGGGAAGACGUGGACGUUGAUCUCGAUGUUGGGUAGAGAUGUCUCUCGUAAGCCGCAGUCGAGGCAGCUGGACCGCGAGAAGAAGGCUCUCCGCCCCUUGAAUAUUCUAGUUGUUCAUAUCUUAUCUGCCGACCAAAUUCCAGAACAGAUGCAAUCUAUCCCAAUAUACUUGUUAGUUAAGUUUAUGCUAGUACAGGUUUCCAUACAGUUAUGACUACUGAUUAGAAUAUAUUAUUGAUGAUGAAAAUUCUGUUUAUCAGUGGAAGUGUUCUGGUUAUUCUUAGCAUUAUCAUGUGGUUGCUCUGAAGUCUGAAGACUCGUAUCUUAUUUUAUUUGAGAAGAAAGAUGAGGCAGCCCAUCAGUUCCUUUCAUUUCAUGAGAAUUGAGGUGCAUGCAAAUACAAUUAUGGGAAUGCCUAACUAUUUUACAGGAACAAGUUUUACAUUUCAUAAGAAUUCAAAAUCCAUAUAAAUUCAUUCGUUUCUGAAGACCAGUAUGUAGUCUUAUUAGGUGCUUGACCUAAUCUCGUUAUCGUAAUUGAGCUGAGACUCUUAAAUUUAAGUCUGCAUCGAAUAUUUCCAGGCUCUUUUGUUUUUUUUGACUUCCUAACCAGAUACAAAAACCAUUAGCCUCCCUAUGUACCAAUGGUGUUAUGCUGCAAAAGCCUUCAAAAUCUUGAGCUGACACCUGCCAGAUCCCGAAUUCUCCUGUAGAGAAAUGCGAGGCCACCAUUUUGAUGUAUCAGAUCAAAUGCUGCCUGGAAUAUUAUGAUGCAUCACCAGGUAUCAGAAAUCCAUCCCUGGCUAUCCUUAUAAUUGGUCUCUAGAUGAUGUCCUUGUUUUUCCCGAGUGUUAUCACAGCAACCAGUAGAGACCUCGAAUAAAAAGUUUCCCAGCCCUCCUGCUGCGUCUCCAGCAAAAUUCCUCUCGAGUAAGAUUAGGGUCUUUGAAUUCCUGAGCUUUCUCUGAACGAUUUAUGGACGAUUUUGUGGAGUGAACUAACCGAACUGUAAAUUUGUGGAUCUUUAUUGGUGAAUUUGAAUAUGAUUUAAAGAGAUCUGCGAUUUCCCAAGGGUUAUCACUUAACGAUUUAGCUGGUUAAUUUGAAAAUGGCAAUGCUUUACAGAUUUCCCGCUAAUUUCCCAUGAUUUCCCGCUAAUUUGACUUACAAGUAACAAAGGCUAUUAUAUCAGCAAGCGUGACAUUUCAAGAGCCGUCUGGAAAUUUGGAACACAAAAAUGCUUAAAUGCAAGGUAUGCCAUCAAGGUUGCAUAUAUUUUCAAAAAAAUUGGUAGAAUUAAACAACCGUCAAAAGAUAUUGCUGAAAGAACUGAAGUUGCUUAGGUGGUUGGACGGCUGGAGAGCAAAACGUGGUCCAAGUCGCUCCAGUUUGGUAACAUUGACGUUCGAAAAGAUGCCUAGCCUGUAGCAUAGAAAGUCUUUUAAAAACGUGGUUGCACAAAGGG